AGGACGUUCACAGAAACCUGCUCCUUUAGAAUCACCGCCAAAUGAAGAAGAAAACACUCCUCCUGCAUCUUGUGAAAACGACAUAAUAGUUAAAUGUGCAGCUAAGACGAAAAGAUGGGAAUCGUGUGAAGUUAAAGCUUCAGAUCUGAAGAGAGUUACAGAUAUUGAGCUUUUAGAUGGGUCAUGUAGUAGUAAAGAAUACAGAUUAAGAAAAAAGAACAAUGAAGUUAUAGUAAAAAAUAAAUGUUCUGGAAAAUUUAAAGUCACAUAUCGUAUUAAAGACUGCAGAGG